UGUGGGAGGGGGCUUGCCCCCGAUAGCAGUGUGUCAGUCACUUAUGUGUCCACUGACCCUCCGCCAUCGGGGGCAAGCCCCCUCCCACA
rnacentral:antisense_RNA from 2 species